GGUGGGCACGUUCGGGCCGAGUGUCACGUGAGGCACUAUGGGAAUGUCCGAGGUGUGUGUGUGCGUGCGUGUGUGUGUGUGGUGUGUAUGUGCGUGUGCGUGUGCGCGCGCGGGCGCGCGCUCCGAGCGUGUGGUGCGCCUCCUCGGCGAGGGGGGCCCGGUCCGAAGGCGCGAGUUCCGAGCGCGCAGGCCUCGGCCCCCUCCAUCCCUCCAUCCCCCACCUCGGCUGAGUGCCGGAGGGACGCGAGUGACAGUGUCUCACUAAUGGCAACCUGGCUGGCCUACAACCAUGCAGAUUGUUGGAGUUGAACUCUGCCUCCUGGGUCCUGGAGUUCAAAGUAUGUAUUUGCCAUAUGCAGCAAGUUAGUAUUUCACAAAUUUAAAUGUGUAUUAAGCAUUUGCCUGCAAAUAUGUGCAUGCCAUGUGCACUGUGCCCAGAGGGCAUCCGACUCCAAGACAGAUUCACAGACGAUCGUGAGCAGCCGUGAGGGUGUGGAAAUUCAACCUGGGCCCUCUGGAAAAAGCCAGUGGUGCUGAGCCAUCUCUCCAGCCCCAAUAAACCUUUGUAUAGAACCUUAAGUUUGAGGUCAACCCAGCCAUACGGGGAGACGGCGCAUCACAUCACUGCCACCAAAACGUCAUUUUUGGUGUUUGUUGUGCAGGACAUGUGUUGCUAUGGGCAUACUUAUGCUAGGGAAUGUGUGUACAGGUCAGAGAACAAAGUCGCAGGAAUGGAUCCUCCCCCUCCCAUUUUGGCACCUUCACGGUAGACCUGGACAUUUUGGCUCUCUGUGACCUUGGUUUAGCAACCUUUCUGCUUAUGGAGAGGUGAGCAGAGGAGAGGGCAGUUUUGACUACUAAAAUACAGUGUAACAUAACCCGCUGUUCUCACUUCAGGCUGAUUAAAUAGAGAGGGCCAUUCAAGUGACUGUCACACUAGCAUCUGCAGCGCUGAAGAGGUCAAGAACUUUUUGGAGAUCAGUCUGAGUGGCCAAUAGCUGUAGCUUAUGACGUAACAGUUUUGUGACAAAGACAAGUCAUUCUCAUACAGUAAUCUCCACAAUCAGAAGACACACUGUUUCUCCCACAUAUAAUCAUUUCAACUUCUACUUUUGGUUAUACAACAUACGGAGACAGUAGUAUACAAUUUCUAAGUACACAAGCUAGGUGUUGGGAGUUCCCUCAUGGAGCAUGCAGUAAGGGAAAACUGAAUGGCUGUGAGCAAGUUAAGGACAGUUAAGCAAGCCAGCAGGUCCCAGUUUAAAGAUAGGAUUUGGGAAGGGGAGGAAAAAAGAAACUGGUCAUAGUUACACGGUAAGUGGCCACUAACAGGAGGGUCUUAUACCCUGGGAAGUCUGCAGGAGUGGGGAGGUGGGGGUGCAGGAAGGCAACCUCGCCAUUUCCAGUCCCCAGCAACAGGCCUCCUGCAGAGAACCUACCUUUGUUUUUGCCUAAAAGGGCAAAACACAACACACACACUCUCCAGCUUCUUUCAAAACAUUCACUUCACUGCUACAGCAGUGACAACAUCUGAUACAAAGAACGAAGCAGCAAAAUGUUGAAAAUAAAAAUAAAGCGGACUUUAUUCAGAAGAUAAAGGUGAUGGUAUCAGUUUUGGUUAAUAAAAUUGGGCUCAAGUGUUUUAACAGGUCUUUAAUGCCAUCACAGACUGGCAUGCCAACGGCAUUCUGAAUGCCAAUUACAGACUGAUGCUAUCAAAGCUGAUGGAAUUUGGACUUCUUCUAAAGUCAAACUACACACAUCUUAAUAGUGAGAGCAAGGAGACUGCUUGGUUCUGAACACCAUACUGAGCAAGUCCCUUCACGUCUCCAGACCCUAGGGCACGAUUACAGUUGCCUUUGACAGCUAAAACAUUUCAACAGAGAGAGAGGACUGGGGGGAACUGAAGAAAAAAAGAAAAGCAAAUUUAACCAAUGUAAUUGGUGCAGGCAGCUGCCACUCAUGGCAAACCCAAGUCUAGUCCGAUGCCCAUUUUCUUCACAUUUGCACUGACAUCUUCCCAAGCAGACGGUAACUACAUUCUUGAAGGAAUGUGCCAAGACUCAGGGUGGGGAAGGUCCAGACAGUGAGUGGACAGAAUGAGUUUCGCAUUCAGUUGCCUAAAGUGGUACCAACUGAUUAAGGACAAACACCCAAACUGCAGAACAGUAGCUGAAGGUAACCAAAAGAGGAUUAAAAUGUAUAACCAGUGCAGAAUAGAAUACCAAGGCACCAAGACCACAAUCGAACCAGCCCAUUUCCUCCUCCCCAGCACUGACUGCAUCUGGGAGAAAGCAUUAGUAACAGCACUUGUCAACUGCUUCCCUGGAACAAAACACGACAAAACACACACGGAAGGUUUUGUUUUCAUCAUGGUUCUCGGUGUACUUUAUUCCCCUGCUGUCUCACUAAGCAGCCCACACAGGACAGAAAUGGGUAGCACUGAGGAAUGAUCAGAUCGCUUUCUCCUUUCCCCCAAUAUUUCUGCCCCCUUCCUAAGCCCUGCCCCAACCCUAUCUAGAAUCAGGAAUGGCUAGUAAAUCAGGGUGGGGGUGGCAGCUAAGAUGGAAACAAAGCGCUCAGAGGCCUGGGCCUCUCCUCACUAGGGCUUGGAAUCCUAGUGACUGCUCUGCUCAUGAUGGAGCAUCUCUCCUUCAAAUACUUUUUUUUUUGUACACUGGUUCACAGAUCGGCACUUUGACUCUGAACCUGGCACCAAAAGGCACAAUAUCUGAUACCCUGUAAAGAGCUACUACAGACGCUGUGUAUGGACAGGCAAAAGGAGCCAGUCCCACUGAGGAACAGGCUUAGACAGGGAGGGGAGAUGGAAGGAGCAUGGGAGAAAACCUAAGCCGAUACCUUUUACUACAAUGAAAAUGGAAGUGGGAAUGAGGAUCUUGUGUUUUAAAUCUUUCAACUACCAGGAAGCAAUGAAAACUUCCUUGGCGUCUAUUUCUUUAAAGCAGCAUAUUCAAAACGCCAGCAAAUUUCCUAAUGUCUGCACAAGCCAAGAGGGCCAGCUCACUGAAAUGCUUUCUUAUUGCUGAAAGACUCUAAAAUUCAUGGUGGCUUGUUCCCUUGCAAAAGGGAAAAUAAUUCUGAUUUAUUGUAAUCACAGCACAUCACACUUUAAAAAAAAACUAAAGCGUGUGAGCAGGGGAAUGUUUGACACCAUUUUAUUAAUCUUCAAUGGAAAAAUAGAACCUUUUUCCUAGUGCCAUUCUCAUCACAACAGUUGUAGUUAGUGUGUGUGUAUACAGAUACACACACACACUGCCUUACUGGUUAGUUGGUUUUGAAGUUCAGCAAGAGACCAACACCGCAUUGCAGUCAAUCAGAGAAAAGAACAGAAGGCCAAGCAGUUUCCAAACGGUUAUUUUAUCAGAUCGUCCAACAUUAAAUUUUCGUCAUUUGCAAUUCAAAAUAGUUACCUCAAGUUUGCGGUUUUGAGUGCGUAUUUACUUUUAUUGUACAUUUGUCUUCUAAACUCUUUGGCACAGUUUUCUGGGGCAUUCAGACUGCCACAAUAUAAGUUGGGAGAAAGCUUGUUUGUGAUGCCAAUUUUCAAGCAUUUAAAAAUUUUGGUUUGAGUUGUGGCUUUUUCUGUCUUUGAAGUCUGCAUUGUGUCUGUAACAACUGUAC